ACCUGGAUAGCUUAGUUGGUUAGAGUGUGGUGCUGAUAACACCAAGGUUGCAGGUUCAGGACAGCUGGAUAUCCUGUAUUGCAGUGGGUU